rnacentral:misc_RNA from 1 species
GCACUUGUGCAGUGUACUCCUGAUAUAUCUGAGCAGGAUUGUAACGACUGCAUAGUUGCAGCUGUUCGGGAUAUUCCAUAUUGUUGUGACGGAAAGCUAGGAGGGAGAGUGAUCAAACCCAGCUGCAAUUUGAGGUUUGAGAACUAUCGUUUUUACCAAGUUAGUCCUGAUGAUGAUGCUGCCACUCAACCAUCAGCACCAGCAGCCCCGCCUCCACAGGUGUCUCCUCCGCCUUCAGAAGGAAAGAAGAGGAGAAGGAUCAU